UGUCAUCUACCCUAACUUUGAAUAUUAGUAAUUCAUUUCUUUGGGUUAAACAUGGCCUCCUCCUUAUAUUGUAUUUUAAGGUUUACAUAUGCCUAGAUGAGGUAGAGACUUGUGGGGGCUAGUUUAUCUGUAGCUUUCUUCUAAGAUCAGAGGGCCUCGUGUUCCAUAGAGACACCAGGGUAUUUGGAAUGGUAGUUCAGUGAAGGAGAAAAACAAUAAAAAGGAGAGAUCACUCUACUGACCUGGGAACUACUCAAUUGCCACUUUGUCUCCAGGAAGGGCUCCUCAGUAAUCCUGGGAGAAAAUCGUAUAAGAUGUCUCUGGUAUUAUCUAGACAUACAAGGGUGCCCCACUAUGACCACAUCUCUCUGUUACCACUGUUACCCAUUACCCUAUUGGAGGGGUCAAAGAACUUUCAACCUUUGGUUUCUUCCCCUUAUCCAGAGGAUUGUGGCCAGCACUACUCCCAGCAUGCUGGCCCCAUGGCAAGGGGAUGCCCAAGCAGCAUUCAUUUCAGGGAUUCAGGACAACCAAAAUAUUUCAGAAGCAGCAAAACCCCAUACAAUAUAGAAGUUGAGGAAUACAAAACAGGUUGGAAAUGACUUCAGAGAGAAGAUAUCUCUAUCCCUUUCUGUUACCCAUACCUUGGGGCUCCCAGAUCAAGGAAUCCCUUAGGUGGGCUGAUCUAGUGAAGAGUUUGCUUUAGAGCCUCUAAAUAGCUUUUCCCUAGGUUGUUUCCCAUAUGUAAACACUAUUCUUACCAGCCCUUGAUUUUAAACUUUCUAUUGUUCCUUCUCUGGACUGUAUAUGAUCCAGUCUGGGGGUUGCUAUUCCCUUAGAAUUAUAUAUUAGAGCUAGAAAUAGUAUCCAUUUCAACCUCCUCAUUUUGGAGAUGAGAAAAUUAAGACCCAGAGAUAUUAUAUGACUCACCUGAGGUCACACAGCUAUUAAGUGACCUAUCCCAGACCAGAGAUUUCCUGCCUUCCAGUAUGAAGCUCACUCUACCACAUCAUGCUGCCUUUGCUUGACGGGGGAAUCCUACGCAAUGUGGAAGGCCCGCCUGGAACUUAGGUAUCCAGGGGUUCAGAACCCCAGUUCUCAGAUGGAGCCAAGAUGGUGGCUUAGUAGCAGUGAAAGCUGAAACCACUCAAAGAAUCUUCCCAAACCAACCUUAAAGUAGCACCUAAAAAUGACAGGAGUCACAAAACCAACAGCAAGAUGGAGUGAGGGGGCUCUCCAGCAGAAAACUUGAAAGUCCAAGGAGAAGAGGGAAAUGGAAGAGCAGAAGACUGCUUGAGGAAGAUGACCUCUAUAGAAAAUAAUUAGAACGCAAAGGAAGACAAGGAAUUCCUAACUCUUCUUGGCCAGGGCUGAGGCAAGGUGGCAAUGAGAAACUGUGGGGCAAAGGGAGAAGGCCACCACUGAAUCUCCUGAGAACAUGUAAAGCACAUAGAGAGUACAGUGGUUACAGGGCUGGACUUGGAGUCAAGAAGGUCUGAGUUCAAAUCCCCUCUCAUCAACUUAUUAUCUUUGACACUGGGGUCUUCUGCUUCUCAGCUUAGAGUCUCCUUGUGAGUGUCCGAAUGGUUCAAAGGUCCCCAGUCGUGGGGUUCCAAAGCCAGCCACCCCAUACCCCCAGCACCAGUGGAAGAACCCUCCAGCCAAAGCUCUUCAGUAGGUCUCUUGCAACCAAAGGCAGAGUGGGGCAUCACUGAGCCAAAGGAAGCCAUCCUUGGGCUGCCAACCCUGGCAUCCAGGCCAAAUCGAUUUGGAUUUUAAGAACACCCUUUCCCCAUUUCAUAAGACCACAGUAAUAGAAAUACAGAGAGAGACAAGAGUAAGCAGGUAAUGGUUAUUCCCUGGGGUCAUAUCAUGCCCUGACUGGGCACAAUGUCACUUCUGGCUACUCCCAUUAGUUUUCAGGGACCAUCACAGUUAUAUGUGACUUGGAUAGGGAAACACUCUGGUUCAUGUUGCAUCAAGGGGCAUCUUGGCAAGCAACAGGAAAGGUGGGGGUAGCAUGGGGGUGGGACAUGGAGUGCUUUAAGCAGAGCAGUACAGUUGGCAAUGCCAAGCAGGAUAGGGCAGAAGAAGCAGGUGUGUGGUAGCCAGAUGGGGCAGGCAAGGGAAAGGAACCUUUAAGAGCUGGGCAUAGUCAAUUGGUGGUACUGGGAGAAGGUAGCGCACUGGGGCUUAGGGGGAGAAGGUAGGAAGGCACAGGAUUGGGGCUGGGAUGGACAAAGGGAAUAUGGUUCAUGUAGGGAGGGGAUGGGGAAACAGAUAAUAUCCCUCUGGACACCUGCCCUCACCUCUCCUCUCUACCAUAUAAGCACAGGGAAGUUGCUGGCUUGGCCUUCUGAGGUCUCUUAUUUAGGCAGGGAGUGGGAGAUGGAAGAGAAUGGAUAUAUAGGAAGGGAGAAAAAUUGCUUGUGGGGCCCAAGUUGAGUCCAGCUUCCUCUAUGUCCACUGGUUUGAAGCUACAUGGUUCUCCCUACCCUAUAGCACCUUUAGGACAUCUUUUAUAAUUUAAUCCUGGGUAAUAUAUUAUAUGGUAUUUUCAACUGCUUUCUGUUUCAUAUGUGUCUGUCUUGUCUCUUUGUAAAUCUCUUUGUAGCUCUGAGACCAGAAGCCUGUCUUACAUUCUUAUCCCAUCUCCAAAAGGCACCUAGCUCAAGAUGAAGCACACAGUAGGGACUCAUUAAAUAUUUUUAAUUUUAAAUUGUUACUUUCUUAGUAACAACUCUAAGACAGUCAACAAGGGAACAAUCCUAUAAUAGACUGACCUGGAACUAAAGGAUAUAAAACGAACAAGGACAGUGCCUUGAAUGUUAUAAGCAUUUUAAUAAAUAUUGUGAUGUGUCUUCAUCUAGCACUCCCUCAUUUGUGGGCAGAUUGGGGACAGGGAAUGUUUUAUGUUAGGAUGGCGAUGCCUAAUUAUUCCUUUUCCCCACCUCUUCAGGACCUGUGAUUUCAUCAAUGUGGGGAACUCUCUAGCAGAGAAACUCUCCACCAAUUCAAAUCCCCAACUCAUCCAUCACUUCGAGCCUUGAAGGGUUAUUAGGGACAUUAAGAGGUUAUGGAUCACUAAGCCCACAUGUGACAGAUGUACCCCCUGAACCCAGGCUUCCUGCCUCUAAGUUCAUCAGUGUCCUGGCUACUCCACUACACUGCCUCUCUUCUUUCUUAAAUCCCUGUAAUGAACCAGGUCAGCUAGCAUGGAGUUUGGCAAGUGGCCUAGCCACCAGCCAAAGGUGGGAGCCAAAGGAGGGAGACCUGUUGCCUGAAGCCUCAAAAGAGCAUCAGCUCUAAAAGGCAUAUAGUGGGGAGAAGGCUGACUGCCCCUGGAGGGAUGGAGGGCAGGAAAUCCCCACAUGCCAGGUUCUCAACCAGGAGAGCUCAAAGACAGAUUGUCAUCUCCGCCUAAAGGUGGGGGUCCAGGGGAGUCAAGGGGGAGAAGAAGAGAUUUGCCCUUUAGGUCUGGUGGGAGAGGUGUGAUGUUGGAUCCUGGGGUGGAGGAUGCCAGUAUUACCUGAGAAGAAGUGGGCCUUGAAACCCUUCUUGGAGACAGUGUUGUCCGACUUAAAUUCCACUCGCAUGUUGUUGUACUGGGAGGUUAUCACCUCGGGUUUUUCAGCACCGCAGAACUUGCCAUGAAGUUUGGAAUCUGCUGUCAGUCCGCUUCUUACUUCCACAAAGUCAUACUUGCACACCUGCCCCAAAGGGUUCUGCUCAAGUCCCCCUUCCAAGAAAGCCUCCCUUCCCGAACACAUCCAGCUCUCAACCAGCUACUUAUGCUCUGAACCAGCAAAGGCAGGGGUCCUUAAACUGAAGUCCACACCCCACCUUCCUAGGGGACCAGAGAUUGAUUUCAGGGUGUUCAUGAACUGAUGAGGAAAAUAACUGCAUCUUUAUUUUCACUAACUUGCAAUUGAAAUUUAGCAUUUCCUUCAAAUAUUUAAAAACAUGAUUUUGAGAAAAGGGUCCAUUAAGUUUCACUCAACUGCCAUGGAGGUCUAUGACUCACGAAAAGUGAAAAAGCCUCUGCCCUGGAGGGGCAGAGGGAUUUGAACCCCCAACCAAGGAUGAAACAUACUCUCUUUAAAAAAAAAAAAAACCUUACCUUCUGUUUUAGAAUCAAUACUAAGCAUUAGUUCCAAGACCAAAGAAUGGUAAGGGCUAGGCAAAGGGGCUUAAGGGACUUGAACUUGUCACCUAUAUUUUGCUUUUAUGUCUCUGAAAGCCUCUAGCACAUAGCAGGCCCACAAAAUGUUUGAUUGGUUUAUAAAACAUGAACUCUGUUCUUAAGAAGUUUACAGUUUGGGGUUGUUGAAGGAACAGGGGGUUGGGACAGUGGCCUGAGCCACAAUAAACUCUUUCUAGUAUUAGAAGGGCCGUCAUGUGGAUGAUAAUCUGUUCUAUUUGGUCCCAGAGGGGAAAAUUGGGAGCAAGAUGGGAAAUUCAGAAAGGCAGUGACUUAAGUUUGAUACUUGUAAGGUAGUGAGUCCCCCAUCAAAGGAGGUCAUCAUGCAGAGACUAGAUAACCACUUUAUAAGAUCAGAGAUCUAAAGCUGAAAGGGGUAUCAAAGGACAUGUUAGUCCAAUCCCUUCAUUUAAUAAAUGGAAACUCAGUGAGAUUAAAUACCUUAAAUUCCUAUAUUGUCACAAAAAUAUCAGAGAUAAGAUUUGAACUCAAAUCCUUUGAUCUCCAAAGCCAAUGGAAAGAGCAUUAGGUUUGAAAUCCAGUGAUGCUAUUUGGAAAGAACAGAAUCAGCAUUCAAGAAACAUCUUUUAAAUAAGAUGGCAUGGCCAGCUGGGUGGGUCAAUGGAUAGAGCAUCCUACCUGGAGAUAGAAGGUCCUGGGUUCAAAUCUGACCCCAGACACUUCCUAGCAGUGUCACCCUGGGCAAGUCACUUGACUCCAAUUGUCUUAGGACCAAUACUUAGUAUUAAUUCUAAGAAGGAAGGUAAGGGUUUAAAAAAUAAAUAAGAUUUUUUAAAGAAGGAUAUGAGCACAGAAGAAUGGGGCACCACUUCUUUGUUCUGCCCUGCCCUGGGCACUGGAGCUAGUACUUACAUCAUUUCCCUCUGUUUCAAAGAAGUCAAAUUGUAAGGAGAUUCGGUACUGGGUAGGUGCCACAAGUUGCCAGAUACAGUUCUUAUUGGGAGGGUAUUCCUUGGGCCACCCUGGGCUGGUGAUGGAGCCAUUGAGCUUGGUAAGAAAACCACCGCAGGCAGCUGUGGGGUGGAGGGUAUAGGGAAGAUUGGGUUAGAGAAGUUAUCAUAUACCAAAGGCCCCUGACCUGGGAGUGGGGAAAGAGCAUGGCAGAGUGAAGCCCUGGCUUGGGCAGGACUGAGACGCUGGCUGCCCCCCAGGAGAGUGCAAAGGGAAAUACUCAGUGGCUCCACAAGCCCAGGCAGCCAGGACUGGAUGAGGACAGGGGUGGGAGGUAGGGAGUCAAAGCAAAAGCCUCCAGAAAUCUUUAGGAGCACUAACGUAGAGUCAUCAACCAAAUCUCCCAGCUCUUCAGGGAAGGCACUGGUCCAAGGGCUAUCAGGAAUGAUUACUGACAAAAAGUUAACUUCUGGACGUCAGAGGGAAUAGAGAUCGGGGGUGAGCGUGGUGAUGGCAUGCUGCUCACCUUCACAGCGACGCUUGUCUGGAGCCAGCUCAUAGCCUGGGUCACAGCUGCAUUUAUAACUGCCUAGAGUGUUGAGACAUCGCUGCUCACAGCCUCCUCGGUUGGGCCGGGAGCACUCGUCUACCUCUG